GACGAACGCUGGCGGCGUGCCUAAUACAUGCAAGUAGAACGCUGAAGAGAGGAGCUUGCUCUUCUUGGAUGAGUUGCGAACGGGUGAGUAACGCGUAGGUAACCUGCCUUGUAGCGGGGGAUAACUAUUGGAAACGAUAGCUAAUACCGCAUAACAAUGGAUGACCCAUGUCAUUUAUUUGAAAGGGGCAAAUGCUCCACUACAAGAUGGACCUGCGUUGUAUUAGCUAGUAGGUGAGGUAACGGCUCACCUAGGCGACGAUACAUAGCCGACCUGAGAGGGUGAUCGGCCACACUGGGACUGAGACACGGCCCAGACUCCUACGGGAGGCAGCAGUAGGGAAUCUUCGGCAAUGGAGGCAACCCUGACCGAGCAACGCCGCGUGAGUGAAGAAGGUUUUCGGAUCGUAAAGCUCUGUUGUAAGUCAAGAACGAGUGUGAGAGUGGAAAGUUCACACUGUGACGGUAGCUUACCAGAAAGGGACGGCUAACUACGUG
rnacentral:rRNA from 1 species